UACGGAGGGUGCAAGCGUUAUCCGGAUUCACUGGGUUUAAAGGGUGCGUAGGUGGGUCUGUAAGUCAGUGGUGAAAUCUCCGAGCUUAACUUGGAAACUGCCGUUGAUACUAUCUGUCUUGAAUAUUGUGGAGGUGAGCGGAAUAUGUCAUGUAGCGGUGAAAUGCUUAGAUAUGACAUAGAACACCAAUUGCGAAGGCAGCUCGCUACACAUAUAUUGACUCUGAGGCACGAAAGCGUGGGGAUCAAACAGG
rnacentral:rRNA from 1 species